CUUCCGCCCAGCGCGCGGUAAGGUGAGAGGAAAGGGACAAUCUUGGAGGGGAGAGCGACCCGGGCGCGAGGAGGCGCUGUGCAGACUGAAGAACGGCGUCUGAGGCGAAAGUGGAGGUUAGACGUGAGUGUCGCCGUUUGCCACAGCUUAUGGCCUCGAGCCGCCGGACAGGACGCGAUCCUGCCUUUCCCGAGGCUCCCUGGUGGCAUGCGGCACUGGAGAGAAGCCGACCACUCUGUCGGAGAAUGUUGGAGGACUACCUAGCCCGUGGUCAAAGGGUUUUCCACAUCUGUGAUCAUAUCAUCUGCACAGAUGAUUAGUCCCCCCCAAAGUUGAUUUUUUAUAUGUCAUAUUGUAUUAUAUUGUGAAGUUCUGCCCUUAACUCUGAGAUUCAUAAAAUUGGUGUUUACACGAGUGUCACAGGAAGUCAACAGGCAUGCAAAACCCGACCUGUGUUCCCCUCUCAGCUUUCUAGGAGCAGAGAAAGCCAAGCAGGGGAGCGAUGGUGGGGAGCCCUUGUCCAGAAAGUAUCUAAGGGACUGUGUCUUGUUCCCUUUUUGCUUUCACCUAAGGUUUCCCUUAUCUUAGGAAGUGGGGAAUCUGGCUGAAUUCCAGUGCAUCCAUCUGGUUAAACAUCCUGGGUGGUCUAGGAUGGAAAAGAACUUGAUGAUGUCCGAUUUGGAAGUGAGAGAGACGGAUUUGGAAUUAGAAUGAAUUUGCCUUUGUCAGGUUGGGGCUUUUUAGCAUCACUUCAACACUUAAUCUCAGCCUUGGGGGUGAGUACAGACACACACUCCUGAGAUCUCGUGGGUUCAGUUCCAGACCACCACAGUGAAGUGAUUGGUAAUCUUUUUGUUGGAGAAGAAUCUUGCCUUCAAUUUGUGAAAAAUGCAGUAUCUGUGAAACUCAAUAAAGCAAAGUGCAAUAAAACAAGGUGUGCCCGUGUGUCCUCCCAGCUGAGUGCCUCUGUCAUCCUGCCAGCUGCUCGUAGUGGGAUCUGGAGGGGUAGGUGUGCUCUGAGAGGAAAGAUCGCAGCCCCAGACAGACAUAAAUGGGGUCACAGAAAUCAGCAGCUCUGGAGGGAAAACCAGGAGCCAUGGAAAGAGCACCUGUUGUGAAGCAGAGGUCUGAGUUUGCAUCCUGGUUCUCUCCUUUUUGCCUACAACAAAUGUUCUACUAGCACUUAGGAGUCCUUAGUAGGUGUCAGUUUUGCUAAAUAUUUUACAUAUUGUACAUUUGUUUUCCUCCAAAGGCUGUCCAAACUCUUAACCACUAUACUGAGCUCUCCUUUGACUUUUUUUUUUUCUAUAAUGAAUGUAGAUUGUUUAUGUAAUUAAAGUGAUAGUCUCGGCCCUGACCCAUGUGGCUCAGUUGGUUGGGCAUUGUACUACAGA